GAAAGAUUCAAGUUUGGAUGCCUAUAAAGAGAUCAUUUGGAAUAAUAUACAACUAACUUUCAAUGUAGAUACAUGUCGCAAGACAUUUGUAUUAAGGAAGGCAGGGUUGUUGCUUAGGAGUUUUAGGACUUCCUUGGCCCAUAAAUAUCUAAAGGAUGACAAUGGAGAUUAUUUAGAGAAUCCUCCUAAUCAACCUCCUGAGAAGUAUGCAUCCAUUAUUAGUGAGGACAUUUGGAGACAAUUUAUUGCAAAACGUAUGGAA
rnacentral:sRNA from 1 species